rnacentral:rRNA from 1 species
CGGAAUUAUUGGGCGUAAAGCGCGCGUAGGCGGUUUUUUAAGUCUGAUGUGAAAGCCCACGGCUCAACCGUGGAGGGUCAUUGGAAACUGUAAAACUUGAGUGCAGAAGAGGAAAGUGGAAUUCCAUGUGUAGCGGUGAAAUGCGCAGAGAUAUGGAGGAACACCAGUGGCGAAGGCGACUUUCUGGUCUGUAACUGACGCUGAUGUGCGAAAGCGUGGGGAUCAAACAGGAUUAGAUACCCUGGUAGUCAAGGGCG